rnacentral:rRNA from 1 species
CAGUAGCCGCGGUAAAACAGAGGAUGCAAGCGUUAUCCGGAAUGAUUGGGCGUAAAGCGUCUGUAGGUGGCUUUUCAAGUCCGCCGUCAAAUCCCAGGGCUCAACCCUGGACAGGCGGUGGAAACUACCAAGCUGGAGUACGGUAGGGGCAGAGGGAAUUUCCAGUGGAGCGGUGAAAUGCGUUGAGAUCGAAAAGAACACCAACGGCGAAAGCACUCUGCUGGGCCGACACUGACACUGAGAGACGAAAGUUAGGGGAGAAAAUGGGAUUAGAUACCCCAGUAGUCCCUGUCUCUUAUAC